GGUCUCCAACGGACUCGAACCAGUUACCACCCGACUGAUAGACGGGCACCCAACCGAUUGAGCUAUCGGGAC